rfam:Cryptococcus amylolentus CBS 6039 supercont1.10, whole genome shotgun sequence.
GCCUCCGUAGCUGAGUUGGUUACAGCGUACGACUUUUAAUUACUGCCUCUUAAGUGUAGUUAGGGAUUCAUCGUAAGGUCACGGGUUCGAGCCCCGUCGGAGGCU